GAUGAACGCUGGCGGCGUGCCUAACACAUGCAAGUCGAGCGGAGACAUGGCGGACGAAGCCUUCGGGUGGAGGAAGCUGUGUUUUAGCGGCGGACGGGUGAGUAACGCGUGAGCAACCUUUCCUAAACAGGGGGAUAACGUACCGAAAGGUACACUAAUACCGCAUGAGACCACGGUACCGAUGGUACAGAGGUCAAAGGAGAAAUCCGGUUUGGGGUGGGCUCGCGUCUGAUUAGCUAGUUGGUGAGGUAACGGCCCACCAAGGCAACGAUCAGUAGCCGACCUGAGAGGGUGAUCGGCCACACUGGGACUGAGACACGGCCCAGACUCCUACGGGAGGCAGCAGUGGGGAAUAUUGGGCAAUGGGGGGAACCCUGACCCAGCAACGCCGCGUGAGGGAAGAAGGUCUUCGGAUCGUAAACCUCUGUCCUCAAUGAAGAGCAGAAGACGGUAAUUGAGGAGGAAGCCCCGGCUAACUACGUGCCAGCAGCCGCGGUAAUACGUAGGGGGCGAGCGUUAUCCGGAAUGAUUGGGCGUAAAGGGCGCGUAGGCGGCCAUAUAAGAAUGGAGUGAAAGUCCCGCUUUCAAGGUGGGAAUUGCUUUGUUGACUGUGUGGCUUGAGUGUAGGAGAGGUUAGUGGAAUUCCCGGUGUAGCGGUGAAAUGCGUAGAGAUCGGGAGGAACACCAGUGGCGAAGCGACUAACUGGACUAUAACUGACGCUGAGGCGCGAAAGUGUGGGGAGCAAACAGGAUUAGAUACCCUGGUAGUCCACACUGUAAGCGAUGAAUGCUAGGUGUAGGGGGUAUCGACCCCUUCUGUGCCGGAGUAAACACAAUAAGCAUUCCGCCUGGGGAGUACGGCCGCAAGGUUGAAACUCAAAGGAAUUGACGGGGGCCCGCACAAGCAGCGGAGCAUGUGGUUUAAUUCGAAGCAACGCGAAGAACCUUACCAGGUCUUGACAUCCAGUAAAAGCGUAAGAGAUUACGUGUAGGCUUGCCUGUACUGAGACAGGUGGUGCAUGGUUGUCGUCAGCUCGUGUCGUGAGAUGUUGGGUUAAGUCCCGCAACGAGCGCAACCCUUAUUUUUAGUUACUAACGCGUAGAGGCGAGGACUCUAGGGAGACUGCCGGGGACAACUCGGAGGAAGGUGGGGACGACGUCAAAUCAUCAUGCCCCUUAUGACCUGGGCUACACACGUGCUACAAUGGCCACUACAGAGAGAAGCGAGCUCGCAAGGGGGAGCGAAUCUGAGAAAAGUGGUCCCAGUUCGGAUUGUGGGCUGCAACCCGCCCACAUGAAGUUGGAGUUGCUAGUAAUCGCGAAUCAGCAUGUCGCGGUGAAUACGUUCCCGGGCCUUGUACACACCGCCCGUCACACCAUCCGAGUUGGAGGUACCCGAAGCCGGUAGUCUAACCUGCAAAGGAGGACGCUGUCGAAGGUACGUUUAGUAAGGAGGGUG
rnacentral:rRNA from 1 species